rnacentral:rRNA from 1 species
GAUGAACGCUAGCGGCAGGCCUAAUACAUGCAAGCCGAACGGCAAGUUUGAUAGCAAUAUUGGACCUAGAGUGGCGCAAGGGUGCGUAACACGUAUGCAACCUGCCCGCGACAGGAGGAUAGCUCCCCGAAAGGGGAAUUAACCCUCCAUAACACCAUGAGAAGGCAUCUGAUUAUGGUUAAACCGCAAGGGGUCGCGGAUGGGCAUGCGGUUGAUUAGCUAGUUGGCGGGGUAAAGGCCCACCAAGGCGGUGAUCAAUAGGGGUUCUGAGAGGAAGGUCCCCCACACUGGCACUGGGAUACGGGCCAGACUCCUACGGGAGGCAGCAGUAGGGAAUAUUGGACAAUGGGUGCAAGACUGAUCCAGCCAUGCCGCGUGCAGGAAGAAGGCCUUCUGGGUCGUAAACUGCUUUUUCCUGUGGAUAAAAUACCCGUGCGCGGGGAAUUGAAGGUAACAGGGGAAUAAGCCACGGCUAACUACGUG